ACACCAGUUACUAAUAUAAGAGGUUCUAAUGAAGGAGUGCAAUUGAGGCACUCACAUGAAUCUUCUGAUACUACUGAUCAUGGUAAUGAAUUACCAAGUGGAACAAAAGGAAAUAAUAAUAAACCUUUUCUGGAUUCUUCAGUUAAGUCGUAUGUGGCACUUGAUAUCGUAGCACCUCCUUGCUUUGGUGGUAGCUGUGAAAUCUAGUAAAGGCAAGUAAAGACUUAUCAAGCCUGGUGUCAUCUAUUUUAUACAUGUACUUAAUAAUUAUAAAGAAUACUUAAUGUGAGUGAAUUACUUGUUAAAACAUGCUGAAAUCUCACUAGUAAUGUAUGCAUGUAAUGUUACUAGUAAUGUAGUAAUGUAAUCAUUAAAAAUGAUUUCAUGUUUUCUGCUAUGUAUUCUGCACUUUUGUGCAAAUGCUGCUGAUAGUUGACUUUUUAGUUUUUUUGUACUUAAUAUGCAUGUAGUUUUUAGAUAAAAAUUUCUUUGCUAUUUAAAA